rnacentral:rRNA from 1 species
UACGUAGGGUGCGAGCGUUAAUCGGAAUUACUGGGCGUAAAGAGUGCGCAGGCGGCGGUGCAAGUCGAGUGUGAAAGCCCCGGGCUUAACUUGGGAAUUGCGCUCGAAACUACUUUGCUGGAGUGUGGCAGAGGAAGGUGGAAUUCCACGUGUAGCGGUGAAAUGCGUAGAGAUGUGGAGGAACACCAAUGGCGAAGGCAGCCUUCUGGGCCAACACUGACGCUCAUGCACGAAAGCGUGGGGAGCAAACAGG